rnacentral:rRNA from 1 species
CCUACGGGCGGCAGCAGUGGGGAAUAUUGGACAAUGGGGGGAACCCUGAUCCAGCCAUGCCGCGUGUGUGAAGAAGGCCCUCGGGUUGUAAAGCACUUUCAGUGAGGAAGAACGCCUGGUGGUUAAUACCCAUCAGGAAAGACAUCAUUCACAGAAGAAGCACCGGCUAACUCCGUGCCAGCAGCCGCGGUAAUACGGAGGGUGCGAGCGUUAAUCGGAAUUACUGGGCGUAAAGCGCGCGUAGGUGGCUUGAUAAGCCGGUUGUGAAAGCCCCGGGCUCAACCUGGGAACGGCAUCCGGAACUGUCAAGCUAGAGUGCAGGAGAGGAAGGUAGAAUUCCCGGUGUAGCGGUGAAAUGCGUAGAGAUCGGGAGGAAUACCAGUGGCGAAGGCGGCCUUCUGGACUGACACUGACACUGAGGUGCGAAAGCGUGGGUAGCAAACAGGAUUAGAUACCCCUGUAGUC